UUGAUCCUGGCUCAGGACGAACGCUGGCGGCGUGCCUAACACAUGCAAGUCGAGCGGGAUUUACCGGCUUAGUUUACUAAGUUGGUAAAUUCAGCGGCGGACGGGUGAGUAACGCGUGAGCAAUCUGCCCUGUACAGGGGGAUAACAGCCGGAAACGGCUGCUAAUACCGCAUAAGGCCACAGUACCGCAUGGUACAGGGGUCAAAGGAGAGAUCCGGUAUAAGAUGAGCUCGCGUUCCAUUAGCUGGUUGGUGAGGUAACGGCCCACCAAGGCGACGAUGGGUAGCCGGCCUGAGAGGGUGAACGGCCACAUUGGGACUGAGACACGGCCCAAACUCCUACGGGAGGCAGCAGUGGGGGAUAUUGCGCAAUGGGGGAAACCCUGACGCAGCAACGCCGCGUGAGUGAAGGAGGCCUUCGGGUCGUAAAACUCUGUGACAGGGGAAGAAGAAAGUGACGGUACCCUGAGAGGAAGCCCCGGCUAACUACGUGCCAGCAGCCGCGGUAAUACGUAGGGGGCAAGCGUUGUCCGGAAUUACUGGGCGUAAAGGGUGCGUAGGCGGCCAGGCAAGUCCGAUGUGAAAUACCACGGCUAAACUGUGGGGGUGCAUAGGAAACUGUCUGGCUUGAGUGCAGGAGAGGAAAGUGGAAUUCCUGGUGUAGCGGUGAAAUGCGUAGAGAUCAGGAAGAACACCAGUGGCGAAGGCGACUUUCUGGACUGUAACUGACGCUGAGGCACGAAAGCGUGGGGAGCAAACAGGAUUAGAUACCCUGUAGUCCACGCCGUAAACGAUGGAUACUAGGGGUAGGGGGGUUAUCGACCCCCCCUGGUGCCGGAAGUUAACGGCAAUAAGUAUCCCGCCUGGGGAGUACGGCCGCAAGGUUGAAACUCAAAGGAAUUGACGGGGGCCCGCACAAGCAGCGGAGCAUGUGGUUUAUUCGAAGCAACGCGAAGACCUUACCAGGGCUUGACAUCCCUCCGACGGGCAUAGAGAUAUGCCGUUUCAGCAAUGGACGGAGGAGACAGGUGGUGCAUGGUUGUCGUCAGCUCGUGUCGUGAGAUGUUUGGGUUAAGUCCCGCAACGAGCGCAACCCUUAUCAACAGUUACCAGCAAGUAAAGUUGGGGACUCUGAAGAGACUGCCGGGGAUAACUCGGAGGAAGGUGGGGAUGACGUCAAAUCAUCAUGCCCCUUAUGUCCUGGGCUACACACGUGCUACAAUGGCCUGAAACAAAGGGAAGCGAAGGCGCAAGCCGGAGCGGAACCCAUAAAGCAGGUCUCAGUUCGGAUUGUGGGCUGCAACCCGCCCACAUGAAGUCGGAGUUGCUAGUAAUCGCGAAUCAGCAUGUUGCGGUGAAUGCGUUCCCGGGCCUUGUACACACCGCCCGUCACAC
rnacentral:rRNA from 1 species